CUUCUCCAGCACGUAAUCCAGUUCUCAUUGAUUUCAAGAGCAGUUGUUUCAUCUGAUCACUAGCUAUUAAAAAGCUUCCAAAGUCAUAAAAAAAUAAAUAAAUAAAAACCUGACGCUCUGCUAGGAAUAAUUUUUGUUUUUCUCGCAGACUGCAACAGUAACAACAAUUAUAUAUAAACAUGCAUAUAUACAUAUUUCCUUUGACUUUUAUAUCUUUAAUCAUCUGGAGUUCUUCAAGCAUUUUAUACAGGUGAGUAAAAAAUAACCUUUGUUUUGCAAGCACAAAGGGGAUACACAGUCGAAGCUGAGAGAAAAAGGAGGAAUAUAAUGAAUUUUCUGCUGAGAUUAAAAAAUAGUAAAAAUAACCUUAUUAUAUGAAACAUGUUCUGGGUUUCUUUGACCAAAGAACACUGUUUACAGCCUUUUCACCCUUUUCCAGCAUCAUGAGUCUCCUUGAAAGAAGGUGUGAACAUAUAUGACAUCCUGAGCUGUAUCCUCAGUGUUAAGCUAGGCAAUUGGUAGAGUAUCAGGCAUGUGUUCUCUCUGUACCAAGAGGAUGAUUUUUAGGGCUAUUGUCUAUAAUAGCCAGUUUCCAAUUCGCAUGCUCUCAUCUGGUGUGCUGGGUGCUGGUACGCACUGCCAGCACUGCCCCCGCUGCCUAUGCCCAGGCUGUGCAGACCAGCAGCAUUCCCAUCCACGGGCAGGCAAAAGUGGACUGCUGAGGCAUGUUACGCGCAGAAGCUCCCCCAUUGGCUUGCACGGGCACCACCAAGCUGUCCCUUGUCAUCUGCCCAUGUGGCUCAUAUGCAGCUCACCACACUGCUAGGCAGAGACUGCUCUUCCACAGCAUGCUGCCAUGGUCCUUCCCCUCCCAAAAUGUGUCCUUGCCCAUGCGGAACUAGUGGUGUCUACAGGGAUGAGGAUAGAUGAUGAACCAGCCAAGUCUGAAGGCAUUAGCUGGUUGAUUAAUGUGGCAGGAUGCUGGUUAGUAUGCAUCUGAUGCUGCUGGAAACACCUGAUUUUUCUGUCAGCGUUAAUGCUUCUUAUUUGAGUGGUGAAUCUUGCUGUGUGCAUGUCUUCCUGAAUCAUUGUAGAAAGUGUUCUCUCCUGUGCAAUGGCUCCCAAAUUUGUAGCUGUUUACACACCGGGGACAGGUGCUCAGAUCUUCUCUGGUCUCCUUUGGCCUAUGUAAAUUUUUUUGGAUGUGAUCUUGUGAUUAAAAAUAAACUUUCAUGUAAGCAGGUUCCUGGGGAAGUAUUUGGCUAUUCUGUAGAAUUACAGUUAAUUCUAAAUAAGGAACACUUUAAAACUAUUAGAAGACAGACAUUCUAGCAGUUCUACAGAUGAUUAAAAAGCCAUUUUCUAAAAUAUUCUCACUGGAGGGUUUUUUUUCCUUUCUUAAAGAAAACAUUUAAUUGCUCCAAUCAACCAUAACUACUUCCUGCUUAUGAUGUAAUUUGUAUACGCUGGUCACAAGGUACAUGGCUAUUUUUCAUAAUUCUUUAUGAGUGUAUUCCCUGCAGUUCCUAUCAGUCACCUUUAAUUGACUGUAAUUCACUGGUCAUUAAAGAAGGAGAGACCAAAAUGAGGUGAAAAGAGAAGCACUCAGUGAAACCUUCUUAGCGCCAAAAUCUUAUCUGGCAUUAUCCACAUGUAUACAACAAAACCAAGCAAAAGAAAGCCUUGGAAGCAUAUGCCACCAAUGCAUGUUAACACUUGAGAAGGUAAAUAGCUCAAUUUGAUCUUCAGUGAUCAAGGAGUGGGGCUUCUCUUUGGAUCCUGGGAGAUGCAGAUAAAAAGCACCUGUACCAUGGGGUAAGGGCAGCCAUUCCCUCCACACCACUCCUUGAGGACAUAAUAUAGUAAGUAAUGGUGUCCACAUACUUCAGUGUCUCAUCAACACCCUGUCCAAGCCCUCAGACUUCCUUGAUAAAUUAUCAAGGAAUAAUCUGAGUUGGAAGAGACCCUUAAUGCUCACGUAGUUCAACUCCCCUGCAAUAAACAGGGAUAUCUGCAGCUACAUCAGAUUGCUUCAGCCUGACCUUGAGUGUUUCCAGGGACAGGACAUCCAUGCCAUCCUUACAGUAAAUAGCUUCUUCCCUAUAUCCAGUCUAAAUCUCCCCUCUAUUGGUUUGGAACCAUUUCCCCUUGUCCUGUCACAACAGAUUCUGCUAAGGAGUCUGUCCCUUUCCUUCUUACACUCCCACUUUAGAUACUGAAAGGCCACUAUGAAGUCUCCCCAGAGCCUUCUCUUCUCCAGGCUGAACAGCCUCAGCUCUCUCAGCCUGUGCUCACAGGGGAGGUGUUCCACCCCUUGGAUCAUUUUUGUGGCCCUCCUCUGGAUGCGCUCCAACAGGUCCAUGACUCUCCUGUACUGAGAAUUCCACAUCUGGAUGGAGUGCUCCAGGUGAGGUCUUAGAGGUGGAAAGGAUCAUGUCCCUUGACCUGCUGGCUAUGCUUCUUUUGAUGCAGCCCAGGAUACAGCUGGCUUUCUCGGCUGAGAAGGCACAUUGCUGGCUCAUGUCCAGCUUGCCAUCCACCAGUACCCCCAAGUCUUUCUCAACAGGGCCGUGCUCUAUCUUCUAGUACCUCAGCUUGUAUUUAUAGCGGGGAUUGCCAUGAUCCAGGUGCCGGACCAUGCAUUUGGAUUUGUCGAACCUUAUGAGGUUCACCUGGACCCACUGCUCAAGCCUGUCUAGAUCUCUCUGGAUGGCCUCCCAUCCCUCAGACAUGUUGUUAUCGUGAUGUAUUGGAUGAAUUGUGACACAGGUGAAUCAGGUUUCCAGGCACUGUACAGCAACUGCCUUUAAAUCCCACAUGUAACAAAUCCAGAAAAAAAUUAUGGUUGUUUUUUUUUUUUGGUUUGUUUGUUUUUUAAAUCAUCACUGCAUUAGCCAAGUGCUGUUGUGACCUCAAGUGCUAUCACAAGCAUUUUUUUCAUUAGACAAGGAAACAGGCAAAUGCAAUGAUUUCACCUGGCAACUCAGAUUUAGCGAACAUUGACUGUAAACACACUAAGUUCUAUACUGUAGAGUUGUGUGCAAGGUAGGGCGGUAUGGCUGUCAGCUUGCUAUAUCUUCCUCUCAACAAAAACAACUCGAUUUAAUCAAGAAAACAGAACAUGGCAAGUGAGUGCAGCUUAGAGUUUGAUGUUUAUUCAGUAUCAACGAUCUGCAUUAUCUCCUGUCUUGUCCACGGGACCAAACAUUCAGCAGUGUCUUAUCCAUUGUUUUAUGCUUGUUUUAUUGUAGAUUUGUUUCCUUGCUAGAGUAGACCCAGAAAAUACCAGGUGUGUUUUCGGUGAAAUAAUUCUGAAUCAUCUUCUCUUUUUUGAGGGAAUUGUUUUGCCCUAAGGACCAUUGCAGGAACAUUGAGCUUCUGCCCACAGUGGAUCAGCUCAGUAAAUGAACCUCUGGCAUGAUAUCUGGCGCUUCUGAUUCUAUGGGAAAUCAGCUGCCAGUGCUUUAAUUGCUAGGACCACUGUAAGAUUGCAUGCUUUCAAGGAUUCAAAACCCAAAUUUCUCUCAGUGUUUUGAAUUUUCAGACUUUCUGUGAGAGUUUCUGGAAACCAAAAUUUCAGUACGUUUUCCCCAGAGAUCUCACAGAUAUUUUGAAAGACAAAACAUUUUUAUUUGCCUUAAAAUAGACCCCAGGAGCACCUGGCAAGGACUGGUGUUAUAAAAACGAGAAACAACAGAGCAUCUGAAAGCAAAAAGCAGCCUUGGUGCCAGGCAGCAGAGCACUGGCAGUGACUUGUUGGGCUCUCCCAGCUCAUGCUCAUGGUGCCUAGAACAGCUUGGUUAGGCCUUUGAACUAGGAAAAAAGACUUGCUGCUUCCCAGGCUUUUCCAUACAUGCCUAGCCCUGCCACGUUCAGAAUGUGGCCCCUCCUUCUCUUGUAACCUUGAACAGGAAGGGCUCACAGUGUUCACUCCGACACUCCAACCUGUGUUCAUCCUACCAGAGUUCUUUCUGCCUUCCCUACGUGCAGCAACCUGUCUAAUCUCCAGGCAGUUAGUUGAAGAAGCAGUGCCCACGUUUGUGCAGCUGUGAUGGUAGCUGAGCUUCUGCUGACACAAGCAAGACUGUCCGUUUGAGUCACUGUGAGAGACUGACCUCACCCAGGAUGACUUUUACCUUUAACAGCUGGAGGACUCCUUGCUAAUGUGAGACCUGGCCUUUUUUUUUUUCUGCCUUCCAGCUCAACACACCACAGGCUGAUCAUCAAUAAAGGAAGAGGAAAUAAACAAGAGAUCCUAUUAUUAGUCCAUCACCUGCUCUUUCAUUGCUGCAGGGCUGCUCCUUUCUCUGACUGAAAAGUUUUCAAGAUGUUGUAACACAAAACAUUGCAUCCAGAAGGAGAGCAAGGCUAAGGAAAGCAGUAUGUUCCUCUGUAGUCCCUCUUUGCUCUGUAACAGUAAAACCUGACACUUUCUUGUGGUGAAUGACUAAAUAGUACAUUUGUAUAACUACUUAGCAGAACCAUUUUUCUCACUGAAGACCAAAUAAUUCUGCAAUACUUUAACCCCUGCAUUUUGGCUUGAGAUGUAGAAUCCUCAUCAAUCUCCAAACCUUCAUCAACCUUUUCAUCAAACCCUUUGUCCUAUCUACUUCUACCUGGUCUUACCAAAGAAUUCUGCCUUCUUGUUCCUAGUCAUCUGCCUUUCCACACGCUGGUUUAUUUUGGCCUCAAGACAUUUAUGGACACUUACCUGACAAGCAGGAAAAGAGAAUGGGAAAGAAGGAGCAGAAUUUAACACAGUGACAGUUGCUUCUAAAGCAUGAUGUAGUGAACAUCUGACUUUUUGCUGAAAUUAGUGCUAAGAUGCAGUGAAGCCAGGAUUUCAGGUUAAUAGUCUUGAAAGAAGAAUGACAGCCAUGACAUAGAUUUCUUGACUCUUCUCAUACACUUUUGCACUGGACAUGUAAUUUCCUGUUAAGGUUUACAGGAUUCUUCAAAAGAACCAAACAACAAAAAACACCAAACACCACCACCACCAACAAAAUAAAACCCCGUAGAAGUAAUAAUUAUUAAUUUAUUAUGUUAAAAGAUUUUUCAUAAAGGAAUACUGGAGUCCUUUAUUUAUGAUUUCAUAGUGCCUUUCUCACACUGCAUCUGAAUUAUAUUGCACUGCUUCCAGAAAAUGCAAAGAAAAACUAAAAUGCAGAAAUAAACUCUUAUUUCCAUUUUUAUUAGAGAAGUUUACAUGUUGAUUCAGUGAAUCUAUAAGAAGGAUGUCAUGCUUCAGGAGACAAGAUAGCAGCAACAUAGGUGUGUUAAGGCCCAUGUGCAGACCUUCAUUGGUCUUAUUGUGACCCAAAGAUAGGGAUUUGGAAUCGAUGGCAGUUUUAAUACUGCCUAAAGUCUCUAUCAGCCUAGAGCUGGGUACAACUCAUGUAGAUGUAUCAUACUUUCUGCCUUCCUUGAGGUCUUUAAGACAGAGGAAUUAGCAAACAUGCAAUUUAAGAUGGUAUAAAACAAGCUCCAAGGAGAAUCAGAAUCUCUCCUUUUCGCAGCUAUUUUGUGUCAGACCUAUUUAGUUUCACCUUUAUAGAAAAGAUAAGUCCAGCUAAAUAGCUCACAGUUCUAAUUUUCGUAAGGAAUGAUCCACACAGCUCAAAUAAUAACCUCAGACACAAAUGGCAGAAAGUGAAGCUUGUUCAUGGAGAGUGGCAAAUCUUUGAGUUGUACAUUCAGAGCUAUUUGUCCACAUAGUAAGAAGCACCAUGUUACUAGAUCAAAGGUGGCAAGGGCACAUCUGCAGUACUUAUAAAAUCCAUAGUAGCAGUAUUUACCAAUAAGAGUCUCCAAAUAUUCCCUGUUUUUGAAUCAGAUUAUGUACUAGAACAGCUGCAACAGACCAAACUGCAUAUCCAGUACCUGCUCAUCACAGCCAGUCUGGCAAAAAGACAAAGAGAACAAAUACAGCAAGCUUAAAUCCUCAAUCUUUGCAUCCUCUAUCAGCAACCAAAGCUGAUGGAAAACUAUGAGGUAAAACCAUCAGAAUAUUUAGCUGUAUUACAGCCAGGGCUGUUCAGCCUGCAGAAGAGAAAUAUCCAGGAAGACCUGAUAGUAGCCUUUCAGUAUCUAAAGGGGAGCAACCUGAUCUGGCUGUAGGUGUCCCUGUUCAUUGCAGGGGGGUUGAACAAGAUGGACUUUAAGGGUCCCUUCCAACUCAAGCAGUUCUAUGGUUGUAUGGACUCUGGUGGUUCGGGCACUCGGAUCUUUCCUUUAUGAGAAUCUCCAAGUAAGUGUUUCAGGAAUGUUCACAGCUACUUGUUUUUUACACUGAUGAGACUGAACAACUCUUAAGCUAAACUGGUGAAAUUCAUCCUGGGAAAAUGUGCUAAACCAAGCUUGCAUUUUAAAGAAAGAAUUUGUUUCCAGAAUGUUACUUGUUGUUUAGUGUAUUGAAUAAUUUUGGUCCCAGGGAUGGAGACAGGGUUUUGUUUAUUUAUCUGAAAAUCAGAAUUUUGCAGAGCUGUGCCAAGCUGUAAACUUUUCAAUUCUCUGAUCCUAGCACUCAGCACAGUGUCCAACAAAAGGCUGUACAAAGCCAGAGACCACUCGGGCUUCGCAGUUGCUGGCUUCAGUCGUCUUUACAAUUGUUUAUGUGAAUGCAGACCCAGGAACAGUGGCAUUAUGCCAGACCUUUCCCAGAAUCGCUGAGGGCUGAUACAGCUUCUCAUAUUAAUCCACCUCUGACAGUGCCACAACUGAGAAAACCCAGAGGGUAGCUGUGCCCUGACAGCGUCCCUCUUGCCAUGCCCUACAACACUGCUGGGGUUCUUACUUGAUGGAAAAAAUGAUUUGGCACAGACAGCCUUUGGUCAUCUGGGGAUGCCUUGCUAAGUCUUCUAUGGAACAGAGAUGUGGCCCUCCACGAGUUUUUAUUGUAUUUUACUGAUAACAUCAAAUUCAACAAAGAAACACAGAAUAUUACGGCAAGGAAAAAAAGGAGAUGGGUAUAAAACAGCAAUAAAACUGAAAGGAAAUUCAGUUUUAGAAGUUUAAAUGCUUUCACACAGCUUCACUGCAGAGGCUUGACAGUCAAAUAUUAAACAUUACACCAUCUCACUGAAUUUUAUGUCAUUAUGGUAACAAUGUUAUUAAACUUGAUAUGGCUUUACUUUUAAUUUCAAUGAAACAUAUUUCCUGAUCUUUUCAUAAAAAUGACCUUUGGGAACCAUAACAAUCUAGGCAUUUCUUUAUUUAUCCUGCUGCAUCAGCUAAUACUUCCAAUCAGAAUCUAUAUCAAAAAGAAAAUGAAAGCCCUCACCAUAAUGUUGCUAGCUUGAUGUUUUAUUAGAACAAGAUAAAAGCUGGGUUUUAUGAAAUUACUUUGUGUGUUACUGUGAGCAAGACAGUGUCAGUGCAAUCUGCUUUUGUAAAGAUUACUUUAUAGUCUUUUUGUUUCUUUCCUGUAUUUGAUACCUACUUUUUCUGUUUUGAAAAGUUUACUUUUAUAAUACAGCCUUUUCACUAAGUAAAAAAAAAGCAAAUACAUUUGUGUGAUAUCUAAGCAAGCCACUCUUUUUUUUUUUUUUUUAAAUAACCUUUUCAUGCUUUCCAUGGACAGAACAGCGGUAGUCAUUUCCACUGUUGGUUGAAUUUUAGAGACAGCUGGUAUUGCUGAGAGCCUAUGGGGUCCAUUAGACAACAAGUUGUGCAAGAGUCAGAAAAACUUGAAUCCUGCAUUUAACUCAGUUUUCCCACUGCCCUUCUCUGCACAACACUGUGGAAUUCAUAGAACACAGGAUUUUUUUUACCUCAGUUUUGGGUUAAUGAAAAAAUAAGCCUAAAGGACCUAAAGAACACUGAAAGUAUUGUCUGUACUUAACAGGCUUUGAGAAUGCUCUGAAUAUUUGAAAAUCAAACAGUUCUCUGAGUUGGACCCAGAAAAUGCCAAGUGUCCAAAAAUCACAGGGAACCACUCAAAAUGUGGACUUUGAAAUGCAGGCCAAGCCACAUUGCAAAAGAAAACCACUCUAAUAUUCAUAAAGUGGGGAAAAUGGAAAAUAAUCAGAAAUUCAUCUCAUUUUUGAGAAUAUGUAAAGUGAGAAGAAAAACAUUAAAAAAACAGAAAAGAAAGGAUCCCAUCCAUGCAGCAUUCAGAGUGGAGUUUGGUCAGGAGAAGAAAGGGGAUUACAUUCCACAAGCUGCAUUGCAUUAUGGACUGGAAAUAGCAAUAGAGAAAUAAAGCAAUAAAUGCAUAAAAGUAGGGGAAAAAAGAAACAGUUUUCAGAAUUACUGUAUUAAUUUGGAAUGAAUAUGCACUAGCGAAGUUGCUUUCUAGCUUGUCAGGUGGCCUAAUGAUGAGGAACAGUACUGACUCAAAUUCAUGUAUGAUUAUUUCUUUAUUGCAUUCUAGGUUUUAGUGGAAUUUAGGAUAAAGUUAAAUCUCUCUCACAUUUAUGAUAAGAUCAACAAAAUGAAUUCUUACUAGUGUUUCUUUCCACAGUUGCCUUGAAUUGGCUGGGUGAUCACAAAUGUAAAUUACUCUCUUGGAGUCCUGAGUAGAAAACUGAAUCUCUUGAAAGAAGAUGCAAUAGGAAAAAUUCUUCCUUCACAUGUAACAUUUCCAAGAAGCAUGUUUCUCUGUCAGUGUAAUAAAAGGAAGAAUUAGAUCAAUAAUAUUUUCCAUAAUUUUUUGACAUCAUCAUUUGAUUUUAGGCCUGGAUCUUCAUUAAUGCAGAAAAUGCUAAUUCAUUUUGUUGACCACAACAUCAUGCUUAAAUUAAAUAUUACUUAGCAACCAGUAUUCAGCUUAUUGCUGGCCUGAGAUCAUUCCGACUGUUAGGUCAAAUGAGGAAUUGGGAGAUCUGCGGUACAUAACAGUGGUAAAUAUUGUCCUGCAGAAAUUUACUUUGAUUUACAUGAAGAUGUGUUAUGAUCGCAGCCUGUUUUUUUUACAAUUGAAGCAUACUGGGAAUAGCCUAGACAAAACGUUUCUCCAUGCAACAGCAGAGACUCAACAGAUUCACAAACUAUUAGCUUGUCAGGUUCACACUUUCCAAUAAAAUGCCAUGGAAAUUUAAGCCAUAUUGUAUAAUAUGGCACAAACAUACCCAGUCUACACCCACUCAAGCACUUCUUAUUAGGCCAAAUCUCCCAACAACACACAAAAAGAUUUUUCAGGAGUUGGGAAUGUUUCAUCAGACCAUACAUGUCUAUGAAUAACAAGCUCAGGUUAAGUUGUCAGGUGUAAUGGGAUUAUAAGCAUCAAAAGCACGGAACGAAGGCAAUAGUGGUACAAGCUCUAAUUUUGCUAUUGCUUGAUAGGAGAUGAAAUUCACCAAAAGACGUCUUAACCCCAAAGGAAGCAGGUGGCUUUCCUUGAGCCAGAGUGUCAUCCAUUGUUUUCAAGCGGCAGAGGUGACUGAUAGCAUCGUUGACAUGAAAAAUUAAGGUACUUUUUCCUUCAGAAAAGGCUUGUUUUUCAUAAAACAGAAUAACUGGAUGGAAGAAACCCUUUCUGAGGAGUGUUGGGGGUUUCUAAUGCUGCAUUCCUGUCGCUAUGUGGUGCUGUUCGAAGUUAUAAAGCCGAUCCUCUAGAACCUGCCUAUCUCAGGGUGUUAAGGAAAGGUUUGUCAGCAGGAGGUUGGGAUGGCUUCAGCAUGCACCAUCUACAGCAAAACCACCAAAUGCUGACGGUAAGCAGAUAUUUCUACUCUUGGGAAGGCUUUUUCAUGUUAUCUUUGUUAGUUGUGUUCAAGAUAAGGAGAGAGGUGAAGUUUGCUACUCUGUCCUUGGAGGUUUCCGCUCUCUCCAGAGCCUACAUGUUAGGUUUGGUAAGGGAAUUUGAUGUAAGAAGAUUUUAGGUGGAUGCAGCUAUUUUUCUGGAAGUUGAGUUUCUUUGCAGUGGCUACAACAGGCCAGGAAGAAAAAUUGAGAGUUGUAAAGUUUUAAAAUUAAACUUUAUGGUGCACCUUAUUUAAUAUGCUUUUUUUUUGAAAUCUCUUCAAGGGUCAAGGGUAGCUACUACAGCAAAGAGAAAGGAAAGGAAGAGGGAUAUCUGCAGUAUUGCAAACUCCUAUUUGAACUUGAUAAUGUGCUAAAGAACUUGUAUGAGAGUUUGGUUUUGUUUUUCCUUCAAAGGAGACUACUGAAUCUAUGGCAUAUCAAUCUGUAUUCUUUGUCUACUUGAUCACUCUUUGCUUGCUAAUGAGAAACUGAUGAUUUUUGACUUGCCUCUUUGGAUGAAGUGGGGCUGUAUUUGUAAGAGCAAGAAGAAUUUUUCAAGAACAUUUUAAAUCAUAUUGGAGUCAAAACCAUGUGUCCCUAGGCCAUAGCUUGAUACUCUGUCAGCCAAGAGCCAAUGCUGUAUUCAUCCUUAAAACUGAAAGAAGGAAUGGUCCAUAACUGUUGUGAUGUGGGCAUAGUGGCUCUAAGAAUCUGAAGGGAGUUGACCUUUUUCAUACUAAUGUUCCAUUGCUGCUAAUAAAAAAAAAGAAAAGAAAAAAGUGCCCCCCCCCCCCCCCUUUUUUUCCCCAGAGAUAGGAAUAGAAAGAAAUAUUACUAAUCCUUUAGUAAGAUCUAUGUAUUCUAGUUGCGGUGAAAUGAGAAAGGUCAAAUUUUCUCUCCCAUCUCUCCCUCCCUUUUUUUUUUCAUAUUGUCCAAGUUCUCACCCAUCUUUGUUGUACUAAUGAAAUUAAGAUAUCCUUCAUGAUAUAACUGUGAGCUAGGGAGAUCUAAAUUACCUUCAUCUGGCAUCAUUCCAGGAUACUAUAAAUGAGGUAAUUGUCCUUGACUAUAAAAUUUGCAUUUUCAAGACUUAAUUGCUAUCAUUACAUCUUUUUGUAAUUCUAUUAAUUUAACUGAAUGGAGCAUUUGGUUUUAUGGUAAAAAUUUGCAUUAAAACAUUGUACAUUUAAAUAGAAUUUUAAUAUUUGCGUCAAAAGCUCAGUACAGUUGUCCCACAGGACCUAAAUAAUUUCACAAGAAGAGAAUUGUAAGCAGUCACACUUUGGGUCAACAAACAGGUUUUCCUUUGGUGAAUAUUAAUAUAACUUGCUGUUAGAGACACUAUGUACUGAAAAUCACUCCUGUCCAAGUUCUGUAAAAGCGUCUGUGAGCUCUGAGCCAUAAUUGCUAACAGGAAAUGUAUUUUAACAGCUACACUGUUUGUUCACAGAAAAGAAAUGUGCCAAAGAGCUCUGUAUUAUUAAGGAAUGGUCUUCCUCUUUUGAGUCCUCCUACCCUAGUUAGGCUGUAUGCUUUGUUAUGGCCUGAGAAAUCACUAAGUAUGCAAGCAAUGCCUUCUGUACGAUCGUCUGUCUGCUCAUAGUUGUCUAGCCAUCUUCCACUGUGCUGUUAAAUGUGGUAAUUGGUUAGUAUGCUGGCAUCUUUUUGGGAAAUAUUUACAACCACCACAGGUUGGUGGCCCUGCCUGCAGCAGAGGGAUUGGAACUUGAUGAUCCUUGGGUGUCCCUUCCAACCCAAGCCAUUUUAUGAUUCCAUGAUUCUGUGAUUUGAAGGAACAGAACUUCAUGUCUGGUCUUUGAAGGUAUUUAAGCCACUAGAUCUCAUGGGAAGCAGAUCGUGUGUGGGUCUGGAGGCCCUGUCUUGGAUGGGCACUGCAGGUAAAAAUGAGUACAUGGAUGUGCUGACAGAAUUCCGUGCUGACAGGAUUCCAUUCUGGUCAGAAAAGCCUAUGCUAUUCUCUAUGCUGUCCUGACAGAUGUUUUAGAGUUGUAUAACAUAUUAUUUGUGGAAGUAAUCAAGCUAGAUUUGUUUUAUAUUUAAUGCAUCUGUAUUUUUUUCUCUUGAGUUUUUUUUCCUGCAACAUGUGAGUAAUAUUUUACAAGAGGGAGUCUGCUUGUGACAGAAAUCUCAUUAACUACUCUUAAUAUAUGUUGUAUUUGCUGGACUUCAUAAUCAUUGUGUAAUUAAGCUUCACAACUCACUUGUGAAGCAGAAAAGAUGAAGGAUGUUUUUGUUAAAAAAAUUUAUGGGAUGUUGAAAUUAAAGACAGAUUUCUGAAAGUGUACAGGUACCACUUCUCACUGAUUUCAGUGCCUAAAUACCUAUGAGAGCAUGAAGAUCUUGCAAAACUGUCUAGUGAGCCAUUAGAACCAGACUAAAUUCUGAACUGGGAGAACAGGAUGAAGUCUUAAUGUGAGAUAAUGACUUUGGAGCAAGGGACACAGUUGUUUUGCCUUUUGCUCUUAAGUCUUGAAUGAGAAUCACAUUUCUUCACUUUGGGGACUGUUUGAUAGUUCAGUGUGUUCUGAGAAUACAUUUUAAAUAUGACUAAUUUAAGAGCAGGUACCCCUCCCUUUUUCUUCUAAGUCCAUUUACAUAUACAGUAUUUCUAUAGAGGUUUUUGUCUCCACUGGAUUCUGAGUUUCACGGACUGGGGAAAAAGGGCUGCUGAGAGCUACAGCUCAGCGUUGAGCCUCCAAAUCCUACAAGCAUUAGAUCUACAAUGCAGUUAGAUUCAGAGCUGUCUUUUUGGGCAUGUGCACAGGGUAAGAAGUCUCCCAGGGUAUCUGUUCUACUCAGAGGCUGUCUUUUCCACUUCAGGGAGGACCCUGUGUAUGUUCUUUCUUAACGGGUGAAUUUCAUUUGAUCUGAACAUUAUGCUAAGGCUGAAUUUCUAGGCAGUUUAUAUUAUAUUGCAUUAGGAAAAACAAACAAACAAAAACGCUUAUUCCUUUGAAAAACCCAGGUCUAGCUGUUAGCGUCAAUUACUUUAAGCACCUACUGAAUUUUCUGGCAUAUAUAUCUCAUCGAAUCUUGGGCGUGAUUUUAUGUGCUUUAAGCAUUUGAUCACAUAAUCAGUUUCUGCAAUGCAACACACAGAAUCCUGAGCAUUGUCCUGGCGGAUAGUCACGUCAAACCUGACACAAACAAACAUAAGGGAACAAUUGUUGUUAAAACACAUUGCAUCACAUUGCAUGUUAAAGCAUUUGCUCUGGUAAUCCACCAUGCUGACGUUUCCCUAUGCUGAUGCCAUCUGAGCAGGGACUGUAUCCUUAAAGUUGACAUGUGCAUCACAUUACAGCAGUGAUUUUGUUAUGUAUCAUUGGCAUAAUGGAUAUUCAGAAGAGAUUCAUAAUCUUGAAAGGUGGCUUGAAUCCACAGAUCUCAUCCAUAUUCUGGUGACUCAGAGCAUUGUGGAAACUCAUUUUAUAACGUCUCACGCUAUCUUGGGCAAAAGCAAAGUAAACAGUUGCCUAGAGCAGCAGACUUGGGAGAAAUGCUGUCCGGGUCUUGUUUCCUACUCCCUCUUUGCUGACGAAGAUAGGAGCAAAAUCUCUUUAACCUGCUUCUCCUGUGCCCCUCCUGCUCCCAUUUCUCCAGUUUAAUUCUGGUGGAAAUCCAGAGGCCUUUUUCUUCCCUCUCCCAGUCUCUUCUUCUCAUUCACUGUUACUCUUAAGUUGCUGAUUUCUCCAGACUCUUCUUCUCCUUGGAGUCUCCACUGCUUCUACUUAGGGUGUUUCAGCAGUGAGAGGAUUCACUGUCCUUUCUGCAUCUUUUUCUACUCCUGCAAAUAUUUGUAUUCCUUUUGGUAGCCUGAGCUAUGUGAGAAACGCACAUUCCUGCACAAAAGUAUUCUGGCUCACUUGCCUAUUGGUAGCUGUUCCUUUAAAAGAGCUUUUUCACACUGGAAAAAAACAGACAGACAUGGAAAUCUUUGCUGUAGUGCUCAUGUUUCAUGAGAUUAAACAAGACAAAAGUAAGAUGAUGUCAGCGUAUUACUGAAUCCCUGGGAAGGUGUGGCCUGUGCUGAUGGCAAUGCUAUUCACACAACAUAGAAGGCAAUUGCAGAGUUCAUUGCCAUGGGAUGUUAUAGAAGCCAAAAGGCAAGGGUGGCAAAUCAUUCCAUAAAUGGCUAUUAAAUGUAAUUAUCUAGAUGCAGUGUCAAGCUCAGGAAACACCUUUAACAGUGGUUGCCAGAAAGCUAUUUGGCUAUAUCAGUGCAAGGAUCAUCUUCUCCAUGCUCUGCCCUUGCACUAUCUACAGCACUGACUGUCACUCCCUCUAUUCCUGAGAUGUGAUACUCUGCCAAAUUCACUUUUGGCCAUGUCUGUAUCAUAGGCUUUUGUUCUCAUGAGUUGCAUGACUAAAGAGACUAAUAAUUAGAUCGAAUCCAUUGUCUCUUCAUCCAGAGACUUUUAAGUUUUAACAUACGACCAAGAGUUCCUGCUUUAACAGUGCUAAGGUUUGAGCUUUCAGUCCGUAAGUCAGAUGUGCCUAAUGGUUAAGGUGUACUACCGCAGAGUUAGUAAUCUGAAAGUUAACUUAUUUGAAAGAGAAGAGAAACCUACUCCACAUGGCAGUUCCUCCUGUGUGUUGAAAGCUUUCCUUAGCAUGAGAAAAAUUAUCAAGAUUGAGCCUUCUACUUCUCUUAUGACUUUUGUACUUUUGUCCAGUGAGCUUGGUAGCUUUGUCUGCAAAAUGAACAGAGUUCAGAGAGAAAAUGCUAUUUGUUCUUCCAAGCAAGAAAGCAAGUUCUUAGGUGGUAUGCAUGGGUGUUGUUCAUGCAUGUCCUACGUGUCCUUCCUAAUGGAUUUAUUUUUUCUUUGUCUCAAAGCUUUGGAUUGCCUUAACUUGCUGUAUUUGUCCAAUUCCACUUCCUUCUGGCAUACAUGUUAUAUACUCAUUCUUACUACGUGCACCAAAAGAAGCUGCAGAGAUGUGCCACCCUUAUACAGUAACAAAACAGCAACUUUCCUCCUGCAACUUCCUUAAAUCAGCAGAUUGGCUGUUUGAAUUAUCACUUACCAGAGUGAUGACAGAAGUCUGUGGAAGGCUUCUUCCAUGUUGGUAUAUGUACAGCAACUAUAUACAAAAGAGAGCUGCAGAUCUUUCACUCAUUUGACUCAUUAUUUUUGCUUAAGGAAGUGGAGAACACAUAUGGAGGCAUUUAUAUAUUUAUUUACCUCGCUGCCUCAGAUCCCUACUGGCAAUUGGUUGUUAUCAAUACAAUCUCGUGUAGGAAAGCAAGGAACUGUAAUAUGCCAAGUGUGAGGUCAGACAGGAUGAUUUCGCUUUCUACUCUCGAAAUCUUAAUUAGUACAAUACCUCCACUAGCUGUUGGAAUCUAGUUUGGAACAACUAAAAGUAGUGAGGCUGGUGGUGCUUUAGCUGAGAAGGCUUGCAGUGUGGCAAACAUAGCGUUGAUAGCUGAUGAUGUUCUUGCUCUCCAUUUUUAAUGUUGGUCAAAUUGCACUAAAGGAAGCUCUGUGAGCAUAACCGAGGGUAAAAUGUUGGCCUAGUGUUACUGGAGUUUAAUGGCAGAUUGCUAGCACCUUCUGGGUAUGACAAGGAUUUAGGACUACAGAUAUCAAUUGUAGCAGGGCCUUUGCCUGGGGCUCAAGGAGGUAGCGUGGGGAGGUUCAGCAGGGGUUCAAGCAGGUAGAGCUGCCGGGAACUUCAGAACAUUACAAUUUUGACAUUCAGUACCUAACUACUCUUUAUUGCUGGGAAACACAUUAUUUCUUCUGUUCAGCUAGAGACUUCAGAAGGGUAAUAUCUCAGAGUGUUCUUUCUUAUCCUGUCCUCUGUUCAAGCAAGUCAAAAUUGGACUCUGUAUCUGUUCUUCUGUUAAAAAAUAAGAGUAUGUAGAUAUGUAUCUCUGAAAUAAACCUCCAAACAUUUGGAGGCUUGUCCUCCAUUAGCUGUAUAUGGCUUCUCUUCUACUUUCUAAUCUCUUAAACCUUUUACUUAGAAGGAAGAGACAGGGAUUUGUCUGAUAAUAAUUCUAUAGACAGUGAGUUGGACUCUGAUAAACGGAGCAAAGGGCCUCUAGAUGUAAGAGUGUAAUUAAAUGUGUAAAAGAAUUUUCCAUGCUUAUGCUAACCUCUGGAAGCAGGGUGCAAAAAUACAGUCUGCUGAGCAGUGCAAGAUAAGGACAUGAUCACGUACCUCAAACCCAGUGGUCCAUGUGCCUUCUCUCAGAGUCAUGUGUUAGCUCUCAUGUAAAUGAGGUUUAUAUCAGCAACACUACAUAGUGCUCAGUUUGUGGGUUUUGGUGACAGCUGUGUAUCCUGUUUGGUCUCAUCCAUUUCAGUCACACUAAUAGCUUCAAAGGUAUUAAGGUCCUUCUCAGCCCCAAGUGAACUUAAAGUUUUUGAUUUUGUUUGUGUUGAACACAAACAGUAUUGGCGUCUAUGCAGACACUAUGAGUAAAGCUGGAUUGCUCGGGGUGCUAUGCAAGGAUUGACACGUAUGUUUAGCAGGGAGGCAUGCUAAAUGAGAAAACAGAAUUUUUCAGAUCUUUCCAGGUGUGAUCUUUUUUUACCUCUUGAUGAUGAUCUGUAGAGUUGGUCCUCAAGAGUGAUCUUAAGAUUCACAGAAAUUGUUAGGCUCAAAGAACAUGAAUACAUUUUUUUCUUUCUUUUUCUUUUGCCACUUAAUGUGGAAAUAUUUUUAACAACAAUAACAAAAAAACAAUGCCUGUAGAUAUAAUUUUCUUCACAAUCUCUCCUUGUAUCAUUCUGGCUUAACAGACAAGAGAGAAGAUGCAUAUGCUUUUUAAAGCAAACUCGUUAAUUAUUUUAAAUGCAUUUGACUUCUGAAAAGUUCUGAAAGUUCAUUUGAUAUUGUGGUGAAACACCAAGCUAUUACUUGUCUGCUCAUUUGCAACUUAGCCUCACUGCCUCAGUUCUUCCCACCAUGUUUUUCUUCUCUUCCAUCUCUCACAGCGCUCUGUUUAUUAUUCUUCCAGCUUAGUUGUCUUCUUUCCUUAGCCAUCAGUAUGUCAGUUAUACUUAAAUGUCAAAAAGAAAGUAAACAUAAACAUCAGUUAUCAAAAAGUACAUGCUCUGUUUACAUAUUCCUCAACAAAAAGGAUUUUUCCCUCAAUGCAUACAAAACGUGAACCUUAACUAGACACGUGAGUCCAUACUUUCAUUUUCACAUCUGAAAUCUAACGGCUAUGUUGAGUAAUCCAGUGUUUACCUGCUAGGCAUGGAGUUCUAACAAUUUAUGAGCAAUACUUAUGAAUCUUUUAAUACUGGAGGUUAUUCAAAUAUAUUUCAAGUACCUUUUUUUUUUUUUUUUUUUUUGCAGGAAGAUUUUUUUAGUCUCUCUUCUCCAUACGAAGACUAUAGUAGCAUGUCAGUUACCUGAUCUUUCUGCUUAGUUUUUUCUUUUUUUUUUCUCCCCAUUCUCUUCCACAUUUUCUUGAUUGCUGAACAAAAUGGUAGGCAUCCCUCCAAAUUAAGAUAUUUUUUUUGUUUAAAAAGAGCAGGACAACCUGCUCUCCAUUGGAGAACCAUCAAAGUUCACCUUUAAUUUUGAUACCAUUAAACUUAAUCUUUUCUUUAUUCUUGGAAAAAAUAAUCAAACUUUCACUGAUGUUUGGGAUUUUUUUCACUCUAAUAUCCGAAGGAAGCUGUUAUUUGCAAUCUAGCCUUUUUUCAGCUUAUAAUCAUAUUUUUCUUUUUGGUACAAUUGUAAUGGAUUAUAGACAGCCAUUCUUUUCAUUGGAGGAAAAAAAAAAAACAACAGGUAAAUUGGUUGUUCUCAAGAUUCAUGUUUCUUUGAAUUCAAUAUAAAGCUUUCUCUUUUCAUCUGUUACCUCACAGAGCAUGUGCUGCAAAUGCCCUGAAUAUCUAAUACUUCCUCCUUUUCUUUCUGUUAUGGAACAUUCUUAACUUACUCUUUGUAUUGAAAUAAGUCAGCCUCCUUCAGUCAGUGAAUUGACAUACACUGAAUCAAGCAUGACCCCAGCUACAUAUGCCCAUUGAUCUUCCAGUUUCACUUCAGCCUCUGUGCAGAGCUAAGCGCCUGCUGUUGCAGCUGAAGUAGAUGCCUGAGCUCACAAGACUUUAGAAACUUCUUGGUGACUGUUUCAGUGGACCAACAUGGCUCCAUGGAUCAGAUGGUGGGUUGUGUACUGUGUACUGGUUUAGGCUAAUGUUCUCCAUAUAGAUGACAGGGAGAACAGCUGCUGCCUCGAAAGUCAAAGCAUUUUGCUGUUAGGAUAUCUUCAUGAAGCCAUAUCAGUAUAUUUUUCAUUGUAUGUCCCUGAGAAUAUUUGGGCUCAAGCAGGGUUAGAAGUUGAGUUGCUGAAAUACUAUGGUGAAAGUUGUCAUCAAGCCCUUCCUAGUGUUCAAGCUGUUUUGGUACCUGCUGUCACAAGAUUUUCAAGCUUGUAAACUCAACUCAGACUUAGCCUGAGCUACUCUUUCAGAGAUUUGCAUCUCUCAUAGGCAAUUCUGCUAAAACUGACAGCAGUCUUGCUAAUUUUUGCCAAUCAUGGCAGACUGUUUCAGUGGGUUUUUUUAUACUUAAUAUAAAGAUGGUUGACUGGAUUCCUGUACGUUCAUUUUUGAAGACACUGAACUUUUCCCCACAAGUAAAAUUACAUAUUACUUAACUUUCUGUCUAAAAUCUUUCCAGUUAUCUGCAAAUGUGAUUACAUUGCAGCUGUGUGCAUAUACCAAAUUUUGUUCUGCCAGGCCAUAGAAAGCCAUUGUGGUAUCCCACCAUGCUUCAGCCUGCCACUUAAAUACCUAUAGCACAUUCCAGUCUCCUCAGUAGACUUAGUGUGAAGCUGGGCUGCAUUUAUUUUGCAUUUCUUUGCUGGUGUAAGAGGACUGCAGAAAUGACGAGGAAUGUAUGAAGGUGAGAACAGAACAUGCUGAGCAAUGGUAAUCUCUGGCUGGCCAGUGACCCCUCUGGGUACCGUUAUCAUCCAGUGUAAUUCGGAGCAGCAGUAAUAAUUCAUGUCUGGCUUGGGUAUAGAGGCAGAAGAAAGGGAACACAUGACUUUCUUCUAUGACUUACUGCUCUGUAAAAGGAUUUUAAAGAAUCUUUGGGGAGAAAUUUAGGUCUCAGAUGCACACAUGUGGAUCUCAUUGAUUUCAUAGGAGACCAUGCGAGUGUGUACAUUAACAGACAGAAUAUAGCUUUUGAUCUUUAAGAGCAAUUAAUAUAAAAUAUGGAAUUACACUACUGUGUAAUAGGAUAUUUUUUACUACUUUGUUAAAAGUACUCCCCAAACCCAAAUACAAAACAACGUAACAUCCCAGGCCAUAGUCUUGUAAAGGCAUGUCUCCACCAACACUUGUCACUUUCUGAUGCUGCUUGUGUGUUUGAAUGUUAGGCUUUGAACUUCAGUAAAACAUUUGUAUUUAAUAAAAAACAAGACUUCCUGUCCUCACAUCUGUCCAAGCCGUUGAGUGGCCUUACAGUGGAAGGUGAGAGUUAACUGUUGUGACUCUGCAGGAAUUCUCUUCUGACCCUUUCGUGUCCUUGUGUGAUGUGUUAACAUGCACCCCAAUCACACAAACAUGCAACCAUGGAACACUUAAGAACACAUUUAUGGUUCUGAGACUGCUGGUUACCAAGUACCUAUCACAGCUAAUACCUGAUGGAGGCGAUGAAUUUAAAAAAACACUGUUGGCACAGACCUUGCAAGGAUGUACAUGGCUGGUAAGCUUAGAGGUAAAUAAGUAGAGUCUACACCUUGAAACUAACGUGGUCGCAUCUACCUGUGAAUGGGUAGUAAUAAAACGCAGUGACCCUCAACUGGAAGCGCUCUUGCUUUCAUUCUGAAUACCUGAAAUGUUCAUUGUAUUGGACUGACAGAUGAAUUCACUGUGAAAUUUGAAGCAGCUUCUGCCUGGAAAGCUUCACACAGAUUUAACCUAAGAAAGGAGGUCCAAAGUGAGCAACAGGCAUUCAAUAAAGCCUGCAACAGACUCUCAGUUGGAGCAGCAAACUCUUCCAACACUUUCUUCAUGAAGUGAAAUAGCACAAUGUGCCUCUCACAGAAGAAGCUUCUAUAAGGUCUUUUCUUGUCUCUUUGUUAACCUGUUGAUUUGUAAAUAAAAGAGAGCCAAUAGGAGUUAUUUUGUCCAAUCUUGGGAAAGUAAGAUUGUUGUCUUGGAACAAGAAUUUACGUGUUUCCAUUUGAAAUAGACUGUGUUGUUCUUCCUUAUACCCUCGCUAUAAAUACAGAAUGCAAUUCUCCUGAAAGGUAUCUAUUGAUCUCUCUGUUUUCUUGGAAAGCCCAUGCUUUUGUUCCCGCUUUCCAAUUUAAGUAUCUCAAUCCUUGUCUGAACUGUUCAAUAGACAUUCACCUUCAGGCACCAGCUGAACCUGGAAAAAUUCAAUCUGAUGUACUAGAUGAAAUUUUGGGAAACUAUGAAUAAAGAAAAACAGAAUAAAAAGGAAAUAUGCGUGCACACUUGCCUAUAAGUGAUACAUUUUAAUCCAUUUCAGUAUCACUCUGUAUCUUACUGUAUUUUUGUUGUGCUAAAGCUCUAAGCCCAAUUGACUAUGCAAAAUGGCUUUUUAAACUCCUUCCCUUCAAAGAAAAAUGCUGCCUGUAAAAAUUUGCUGAAAAAAAUGAAGCUCCAGAGAGAUUAAAUAUUAGAAAAAUAUAUAUCCUCUUAUCUAAUGUUCUGUUGGACUACUAGAAAAUGUUCAUUUUGUAGCAAAUUGCUGCAAAAUUAGAAGUGGAGAACAGAAUAUUAUGACUGACUGGUAGAAACGUGUUGGCAUAGCUUGAGACCAUGUAUUACCUUACAACACCCAUCCACUGUCCUCUUUGUAAUUGGAAGACAGGGCGACAGGUUGCCCAGAGACGUGUUGGAUGCUCCGUUCCUGGAGACGUUCAAGGCCCCGCUGGACCAGACUCUGAGCGACCUGAUCUAGCUGUAGGGGUCCCUGUUCAUAGCAGGGGAGUUGGAAGGGACCUUUAAAGGUCAUCUAGUCCAACUCUAUGGAGCCUAUGAUUAUAUGGCAAGAUAUACCUGCGGUGCUUUGGAGAGAGAACAACCAAAACUAGGAUUAUGCACAAUGUUGUAUUCUAAUGAUCAUUCUUGGAGUAAAAUUCCUGGUAUCUGAGUUCUAUGCUUGCCAAUUACCCUAACUUCUGAUUCAGACAAAUGGAAAUUAAUAAGAUACAACCUUGCAAAGUUUAUUUACUCACAGCAUAUUAAUCUCUUCAUAGUCUAAAUUAUACAGUCUGCAGCAUGAUUUGGCACAUAAACGCGGCAGAAUUAGUUAUUUCACCGAUUCAGUGUACAAUAUUUUUUAGAACACAUAAGAAAACAGUGUUCAAGUAGACUUUGGGGUGUAAAUCUGAACUUGUUAGCUGGAGUUCAGAUGUUCCACCUUGGAAUUAUAUCUCAUUUAACAGAUUAAUUAGAGAGAGAGAUAGUCAGAUGAAACAUUUAAAAAAAAAUAAUAAUUAUCUGUGUUCUAUUGUAUAUAGAAGUGGAGAUAGAAUCUACCCUUAUUCUUUCCCAUCUCCAGGAAGAUUCUAGGUAGUAUUUUGGGUUGGUUCUUUCUUUUAUUCAUAUUAAGAGAAUAAAGUAGAGAAAGCCUCAGGGCAGUGUAAGCCCUGUGGCAGAUUCUCAAAAGUAGUUGCAGAUAGAUAUUUUUUGAAUUUUGUUCCUGGCAUUACAAGUGGGAGAAGAUGCUGAAGGUAGCUUUUCUAAACAUCAAAGGUGCAGAUGAAGUUUACUAUUUUAUUGGAUAUUUAAGUUGAUUGCAGAGUUGUUGUUUUUUUUUUCUUUUUUCCCUGAAAGAUUAGGUCAGCAUAAUUAAAUAUAAGUGUAUAUUAGACAUUUAAAUCUACACCUUCUGGCUGCCUUUAUGCUCAGCAUUCAGUUGGUGCCAAAAGCUUGUUUCAUCUUGGGUUCAUGCAUCUAAAGUUUAUCUAAGUUUGUUUUCUCUGAAGAAGAGCACAUAUGCAUUGGAGUCCAGAAUGCCCUCCACUCUUCUGGGAGCUGUAUUUGCUCCUUGCUGUUUGACAGAGGUAGGAUGAGCCAUUUGUAUCAUCCCCAUAUAUUGAGUGAAUCAGGGAUGUUUGGAUCUGUGGUAAAAAAUAAUGUCAUCCAAUCCCGGUUUUCAUUUUGAUGCUCAAAGAUGACAUCAAAGCUCAAUACUAGGGAGGAAUAUCCUCUUAAUAAGGAAGGGAUGGGGGGGGAGGAGGGGGUGAAGUCAGCCCUUCACUUCUCAGUGAUUGGGAUUCACUGUGUUGUUGCUGGGUGGAAUAGAGUAAUGCUGUUGCUGCUCCUGCUUCUUCACAGUGAUGUUUCUGUUCCAGUUUUUGCUGACUCAUAUUCAGGAAAACAUGAUGCGCAGACACAAUGCACUGUAACUCUUUUUCUUUCCCCCACUAACCUCGGUAAGUAUUCUUUUUUUCCUGUCUAUGACUAGCAUAGUACUAUUAUUGCUCUGCUGAUAGAGUUGGUAGGAGGGGAAAAGGCAACCUUGUAAACAAACUGCUAGCAGACAGAUUAAUCUCAGAGAGGGCAUUUAAAUGAAACCUGCUGUUUGUGGUACAUCCACCUCUUUAGGGCAGAUCAAUCCUGAUAACUCACCCAUCUCUAUGAACUACACUUGCUAGAGCUGUGUUCUUAAAUGGGAGAAGUGCUUACAAUAGCCAUUUACAACUGUAUUCUGUUUAAUUAGUCAGCAAAGCCAGUGCUGCAGGGAUAGAUCACUUUGCUUUAAAGAUUUGAGAAUGUUAAUAGUACAGUAUAUCAUUUUAAUUAUUAUUGGAUGAAUGUUGUGUCUCGAAGAACAUCCAAUGCAAAUCACAAAAAAUGGCCUGAAGUGACCCAAGGGUUGUGCUUUAUUAGAAAAUUAAUAGGUCCAUUGGUUAAAUACAAGGAGAGGUUCUUACUUCAAAUGUCACUCUGCGUAGGUCUGCUGUAUGUGUGCCUGUGUGUAUGUGGAAAUGAAAUCCUCUUGCUUCCACUUUGUCCACAGAAAGUUUCUGUAUUUCGUGCAAUAAAUGGCUGAGGAAACAUGUGCAGUAAUAAGAGAUGAAGAGGAGACCCAGAAAAACUCUGAUGAAGACCCAUUUCAUGAUGCUGAAACGGCAUUGCCUGAUUGCUAUGCUGGCCUUAGUGAAGGCAACAGAAGCUCAGAGGUGCCAGAAAGACUGUCUGUCCUCUCUAGCAAGGCUGUGGCCCAAGCAAAAGCACUUGCUGGACCAUCAGCGGUCGUCAGUGGCAGCCAGGCACAGAGCAAGGCAUCUGCCUUGGCCAAGCACCACCUGAUGGCUGUCAGUGCAUCAGCAGGAGACUUGUCCUGCUCUACAACAAUCUGUAAACCCAAGCCCAGGGGCCUUGCCUCACCGUGCUCUGAAAGUGUCUACUGUAGCUGUGACCAGGAUUCAGAAGCAUCAUGUGUCCCUGGGAUGCCUGACGGGGCUGGUAAGCCCCCCAGGGCAGUCGUGGCCCUGUUGGUGAACAACCUCAGGUGCUGCCAUGUGCCAGCUGAUAGUGCACGGCCUGUGGAGAGCUGCACUGAGGGCAACCCUUGCAGUCUGGGCUCAGCCAUCUGGAUGAAGACCACAACAGUAAUGGAGACCCUAGAAAAUAAGAAAAAGGAGGAAAAGGAGAAGUAUCGGCUCCAGCUAGCAAUGUACCGAAGACUCCUGCUGUUGCGUUCGAUCAGGAGCUUGCACAAGCAGCUGGAGCAGCAGCAGGCCAGGUUACAGGAAUGCUAUGGCAUAGUCAUAAAUACCAAGAAAGAAGUGUUAAAACACAUUCGUUCAACCUUGCCCUCUCCUUCUCCAUAAUCAUGUUGCUGCACGCAGAAAUGAGCUUUGUAAUGCCACUGGAGCCGUCAGCAAGCUUGCAUGCCAUGAGAUGGUUUCUUCCAAGCCAAGAGAAUGUGCCCACGUGUGCCGAGAGCAAAGAGGAAAUGGCAACAGCAGAGCGAGAAGAAAGAGGAAGGCAAAGCGUUGGCCCCUGAAUUUGUCUGCAGGGAGCUGGAAUAAGAUUAUAUCUGUGCAAUACCGUAAUGCUUGAUGUGCACUCAAGGCUUCAAGCUUGUGUAUGACAUGAAAUUGAAAAAAAAAAAAAAAAAAGAAGGAAAAAACCUGAGAACAUAGUCUGAUGUGAUCAUCAUGUGACUUAGUGCUAAUAGAAUGAACAGAAUUAGGGUUCAGUUCUCUUCAAGAACCUAGCAAGUCAGGAUAUUAGGAGCACUUAAACUCAGGCUUGAUGAUGUCCACCCAGCUGCCUGCUUUUCAGAAAACCGCUUAGGCUAUUGCCUGUUUGUGACCUCUACCCUCCCACAAAAAAAUGUAUUCAUAUUGACCAGAAGUCUUUCUGGAAGGUCAAACAGUCAAACACAUGUACAGAGGAACCUUGCAAUUGCCUGAGCCCUAUUAGGAAGGCAAGCUAAAAGCAAAGGCCUCAUAAUCUGGCAUUGUGUUGGAAGCCCAGACUGUCAGUGCCAGGGGAAUGUUCGAGGUCUGCACAAUUAUUAAUCUGCUGCUAACUCCCAGUGGCACUAGCGUCUGCAAAUCAAGCACAUUUUGUGCCUUACUGCUGUCAUUUAAUGGAAGUUGGUGACAAUUAGCACUUUUUAUCCAGGUGUAUUAUAUGCCUGGAAAACCCUAGAGCAAUUUCUUCAAUUGCUAGGUUAGGAUGCCUGCAGGAAAUCUGAUGUCAGUAAGCAACAAACAAACAUACAGAAAAAUAAAGAAAAAAGAUGCAACUUCUUUUUAUGCAUUAAAAAGCCAGUCUGGGUCCCUAUUAUCGAACAGCAAAUUGAAUUGUUGAAUGUGCUGUCUUAGAGUCUGAAGCAAAAAUUAUUUGAGAAGAUAUUGAAAGGCUCCCCUUUCUGGGACUUAGAGUGGCAUAGAAAAAUCUUUUUUUCUUUUCUUUUUUCUUCAGGUACCCAUUUCUGAUGAUGCCACCUUUUCUUUUGCCCUGUUGUUCUUUGUUACAAAUGUGUAAGUAGAUAAGCAAUCAGACAAGUUUUUGGCAUGGAUUUAUUUGGUUUUGGUUUUUUUUUUUUUUCUUUUUUUUGCAUGAAAAUGCAAAUCUGUUACUAGAAGUCCUAUCUUUCUCAGAGUAGUGUUCUGUAUGUGGGAAUUUUUUUGCCUUGGCUUUUUCGUGUGCUCAUAGAGGGAAGAUGUCUGUGUUUGUGUGCACACACAUGCACUUAUGUACAAAUGAUCCUAAAAGGCUGGCACUUCUUUUUCUGUAGUAAAAACAGGAAUAAUCUCUCAAAAUAAUCUUUGCUGUCUUAGAGGAGUUGCUUGAUUAGAUUCACAUGAGCACAUCUGUGAGCAAGGUAUUGAAGUAAUUUAACAAUUGAAGUGCAGCACAACAUUGUUAUUAUUCCAUCUUUGUAUUUCCUUGCACCCAAAAUAAUGGAAGCCCCCUGGGUAUGCACAACCUUAGAUAGGCUUAUUCAUCUCCUUGGGCCCUUGCACAGCCUCUUACACAGCACGAGCCUGUAAUUUUGUAUGCAGAAUUACCAUAGAAACAUUCUUGGCAUCAAGGAGAUAUUUGAAGGAGCAUCCUGUACUGUCUCAUAUGGGGGAUUUGGGUUGCCGGCAGCUGUCAGUGGGCUGCCGAAGAUAGAGCUGGGGAUCUAUGUGACUGGAGGACACUACUCCUAUGCCCGGAUCUCACCCAGCUUUGGGAAAGCUGUUCAUAGCCAGUAAUGCGCAUUUACCAAAGAACACUAAACUCACCUCAAAAGUAAUCUGUUCUAUCUUAAUAUGCCUCCUAGAAAGGAAGAACAAUCAUGGCUAAGAGGACUAUGCAAAGAUUUGAUUUUUUUUAAUUACUAUAUAUAUAUAUAUUAUAUAUAAUUAUAUUGUUAUUAACAAAACCUAAAAAAAAAACCCACAUUUUUUUUUUCUCCUAUUCAUUAAGAGUUAAAGUUCUGUUAACACAGACACAAGCAGACCAUUAUUAGAUUGUCUCUUUGGGAAGGAAAUAUUGGAAAAGGGGUGCAUCUCUCAAAAAUAAAUAAAUGCAAAAUUACUCAAUUCUGAAAUUAAAUGUCAAACUGUUUCCAUUAAGAUGAAAAUUAAAAAAAAAAAAUUGUUAAUUCUUCUUUGUACAUCAUUUUAGCCUAAUUUUAUUUUUUGUCUUCUGAAUAAGAUUCAGCUUUGCGAAUACUAUCAUGUUGAAUUUUCUGCUGACAUAAAAUACAUGUGCACAAAGGUAAGGUGAUGUAGUUAUUUUGCCUCAGUAACUGCUGAAGUAAUGUCCUAUGCAUUACUAUAUAGAGCUACCUAUAGUGUCAAUUCUUUUUAAAGGUGACUAGAAAAUCACUGAAAAAUAUUUCUUACACUGUACACAGUGUGGCAAUAGUUGAUUUGUCAACCUGUAUAACUGAAAGUACUUUGUGGCAGAACUGUGACUUUUUUUUUGUAUGACAUCUCUCGCAACGUUUCUUGUUUCUUAUUGGAAUCAGUAGAUGCUUCUGCACUAUGAAUAUUAAAUGUCAAGAGGUCUGUGCUUGAGCAAUGCUGCCUGGCAAGAAAAUAAAGCCAAUACUUGUUCUGUGUAUGCACAGUCUUUCCAUGUAGUGAUUUUACGGAUACAUGCAAAAUAAAUGUUAACUGAAGAAAUAACAAGAACACUUGUCUUUAGAAGAGUUUGCUGGUUACCUGGUUGUUCUAGUGUGGCUUCUAAUAAUUGUGGUUGGCCGAACCAAUUAAAAGCUACAAGAUUUUUAAAAUAAGGAUAUUUUACAAGCUUGGAAAAUGUGGUUUAACAGCAAUGCUUUUCUCCUGUGUAUGUCAGCAGCUGAGGACAAGCAGGAAAAUGCUGAGUAACCCAUGGAGGUAUUUUGUUGUGCACCAGACAAAGCAACAAUCUCAGUUUUAAUAAAAAUGCAUCUUCUCAACUAUUUUCAUCUCUUUGUAUGGUUAAGAGGCUUGGUGGUUUGGAUGAGGUUAAACUAAAUUUCUUAAACUUUGUAUUUCUUUCUGAACCCAAACUACAUGAGUUUAGUUCUAAUCAGAGAAAUAAGCUGGAACCACUGACACUUCAUAUAUGUAUGAAAAAACUGUCAGGUCUUGGGUAAUGGUGACAAAUUAAUCAAUUCCAGUAGGGUCUUUCUCCCCAUUAUAUUACUGCCUGCCUGAUCAUGUCAAGCUAACAAUCUAGGAAAAUCUCUUUGAGCCAAUAUCUUGUUAACUACUUCCACAGCGAAGGCUGAAGUGAAAUUGCACUGUCCGAGCCUUGAGGUCCCACUGCUCACCUAAUUGCCUAGCUAGCCUGAUAUGGCAGGAAAUAAGUGGAUUUACCAUGGAAGAAAAAGAUGUUCAAAAGAUACUGGCACCUCAGAGUCAUUACUGUUACUGAGGAAGUUGUAGCAUAUGCCUACCGAAAAACAGAUAUUUUUAAGAACUUUAUCUUUUAUAAGCAAUUAAUGACAAAAUGCGUUACUGAGUUGGUUUUCAAUGCAAGGUCUUUUCUUCCAUGCCUCUGGCAUUUUAGGUGCUGCCCUGGAGACUUGUCAGAGCUGUGCUUUUUGCUACUUCUGUUGUUGAUUACCAUGAGCCAGCCAAGAUAAGAAGACCAAUUUUGUUUAUUCAUUAUUUGUUGUGAUGGAACAUCAUACUAUGUGAGGGGUUAGCUCAUUUCUUUUCUGAGAUUUUAUGUCUUUCACAUUGCUUAAUUAGAACAAUGCUGGCUUUACCCACUUAUAGUAAAUUUUGAGGGCAGGCUUGUGAGCUAUGCAAUACUAAAUCCAGAUCAUCCUAUGUUGUUCUUAGCUAUAUGAAAUGAUGGAUUCUGGUCAUGACAUAAAUAUAUGAAAGAUUUAAAGAUGAGGAUGUUUACUCCUGACAGAUGAGUAGACUUAGAGAAAUUCUAGAGAGUACUUGCUACAGUUUAUCUCUGAAUUCUGUGAAACUAGAAUAUAAAUGCUGUGAAGCACACAUUCUGCUCAUGACUCUUGAAAGCAAUGCAGUAAUGCAAGAGUGAAUGUCAAAUAUGCUUGAAUGGAACUCUACUCUGAAUGUGCUGGGCAAGGAGUAAAUUUUUUUCAACCCUAAAACUCAGAUGAGUAUGAUAGCCAAAAGUUCAGAUAUUGGAUGGAUAAUGAGAGUGAAUGGAAAUUAAAAAUAAAUAAAUAAAAUUCAGGGUUUGAUACUUAGUGUUGCUGAGAUUCACACGUAUGCCAUUUGUCCCAGUUGGUCUGGCAUUUACCUAAUCAG
rnacentral:lncRNA from 1 species